GCUAGAAUGUGAACUCACACUGUACCUUCCUUGUUGCCAACACGGAGACAUGGUUUCCAUCUCUGAAGGAGGCAGAAUCAUCAUCCACUUCCCAGGCAUCAUUUGAAACUUCUUCUUGGAAACUGGUUAUCAUGCUGUAAAGAAAUCCAAACCACAUGCACAGACCAUUUUUAAGUGUUCCAGCCAAUAGCCUCAGCUGAGAUCCUAGCUGAUGGUCAACAUCAACUGUCACACAGGAAGCAAAUAGUAAUGGAUGGAGAAGGAGAGGUUGAAAAGGAAGAGAUGAGUUUCUUCGGGCCAAAUAAAAACCAUCUCAGAAG